UUGUAAAUAAAAAAGCCUGUGCCCUGUGCUAUCCAGCGCAGGGCAAGGGAGCGCAUGGGAGUAUAACAUGCUCCGAUGCUAUAAUAAGGGGGGCUGUCUGGGUGAAAAUAUGGGUAUGUCUGGGCAACCCGGACAACCCCUUUAAACAGGUUACACCUGAAAAAAAAUACCCUUGCUGGACUACAAGUUAUUUUACAUAACUGAAUACUUACACACAGUAUACUGUUUACUGAUCCAACUUAUUUCUUGGCUAUUGGAAUCAGAGGUGAUUUUGCUUUUUUACCUCCAUUUAUAUUUUUCAUUAGUUUUUCCUUUUCAUUGUUCAUCCUUUGUAUUAGAUUUUUUUUUUUUUUUCAUUGUACAUUGCCAAGUAUUGAACUUGCUUUCAAAUAGAAUAUUGUCCUUUGAUGCCUGUACAAGCACUGCUGGCAGUGGACUGUGCCGCAGGGUGGAAGGCCAGGCAGAACAAAUUCUUACUUCCUGCUAUUUUAAUUUUCUUUCGCAUUUGUUUUACUAUGCAGUUUGAAAUUUUGCAAUUACUUUGUACUCUACCAAUUAGUUGUUUUUUUCUUCUAUCAUUCAGGUUAUUAAGACAAAUGUUUCAUAAUCAUUGCAAUACUAAGCUUUAUUUUAAUGUGCGGCACAUUAUGUUUUGCGUGUUAUAUAUCUAAUAUUUCUCUGAGGUCCAGAGUAGAUACUCUUUAUCAUUUUAUAAUCAUUAUGCAUUGAGUAGUUUACAUGAAUACAUUUGAUUGCAGUUGUGCUUUAAUUUUGGGAGUUGGAAUUGGUUUUUUUGCGUUUAUUUGAAAAAUCUGUUUUGUUUUAUGUUUGUAUGUUUUAUAUUUGACUUUGUGGUUGCUAAAUGUUUAUAUAUUUCUGUUCCAAUUUUUGCAUAUAGUCCGUGACAAUGGUGUUUUAGAACCACUGGAUAAUGAUAUAAAGUACGUUUAUAGUAUGCUUCAUGGUGGAGGCAGUUUUGCUUAUUAGAUACUUUACAUUAGCUUUACAAGAUCAUUGAGCUCCUAAGGUCUCCUUCUAGCGCUACUUGGAAAACAUCUAGGUGAUUAUGCUGAUUGGAUCGGUAUUGAUUAAAAUUGCGAUUCUGGGGGGAGGAAGGGGCUGCAGGAUCUUGUCUUCUCACUUUAUAGUUAUGUUAAAGGAGUUGUCCAGGAUUUUUGAUAUUGAUGGCCUGGAGUCAGGAUAGGUCAUCAGUAUCUGAUCGGUGUGGGUCUGACCCCCAGCACCCUUGCCAAUCAGCUGCUUUGUGGAGACUGCAGCCCUCUAGCAAGCUCUGUGGCCUCUUGUUUGGCCAGAGAUGUCACGUUCAUGUGUCACAUGGUCUAGGCACAGCACAGUCGCAUUCAAGUGAAUGGGCCUGAGCUACAAUACCAAGUACAGCAUCUAUACAAUGUAAGGUACUGUGCUUGGUAGGCUGUGAGGAGGCCACAGCCUCUUCAAGCAGCUGAUAGGUGGGUAAGGGGGGCGGCAGGAGUCGGAGUGCCACCAAUCAAAUAUUGAUGACCUAUCCUGAGGACAGGCCAUCAGUAUCAAAAUCUUGGACAAUCUGAUCCGAAGGCUCCAGCAACAUGGUGAACUACCUGUGUUGAUGAAAUGGUAUCCACCAAAGUUGGCUUUCUAGCCUAGUAUUCAGUCCUUCUUUAGGAUAAUAGUGGGCUCUGAAAGGAAACAUAUUACAGUAAAUAGUUGAAAACCAAAAUCAGAGUAAAUUUUCUAGGAAACUACCCAGGGAAAUUUUCUGUGAAACAAAAUUUUUCUUUUUUUAAAUUUUAUUUUGACUUUCCUGUGGUUUAAAUAGCGACCAAUGCAGCGAUCUUCAUUUUAAAUCUUAACAAGUCAAAGGGGUAUUCCCAUCUGGGACAUUUAUGGCAUAUCCACAGUAUAUGCCAUAAAUGUCUGAGAGAUCUGGGUCCCACCUCUAGGACCUACUUCUGUCUUAAUGUAGGCAGGGCUAAACAGGUGAACGCACAGCGUGGCUCUCUCCACUUCAGUAGCACUUGAGAAAAUACCCGGGCACACUUUGCAGCAUAGGCUUUGGAUAGGCCAUGAAUGUUUUUUAAAUAGAUAAAGUUUUACUUUUUUGAUGAUAAGAGAUCGCACUGCAAGAAGUUAUCAAAUUCAAGUUAGAAAGCGCUGCAUCUGUAGGUGUUUCUGUCUUCACAAUGCAAGGGCUUCUCGGUGCAGUCCCAGGCUUGGGUCUGUCUUAGUUUACAAUUUUUCAACGUUUUUAAAAGACAUGCAGGCAGAUUGCACACUUUUUACUACUACUGGAACCCUGGCACAAUUUCGGAAUUUUGUACAAAUAUAAUUCACAAUAUGUGUAGACAGAAUAAUAUAUAGAUAUAUAAAAUGUGUGUAAAAUGCUGUAUGGGGAGGCUUUCUUUCCAUGUUCAUCAUACUGGAAUCAUCAGUUCAUCUGUUAUAUUCAAUGCAAAUUGUGGAAGACCUGCUGACUAGCUUGACACACACAGCCCAGCAGUUACAUCGUAGAGCAACCUCAAAAAGUAUUUUCUUAUAUAAGUACAGUCCUCUAGGCAGGGGAAUGGUCUCUUACUAGUCCCAAAAUGAGGGAUUGUAAUAUGUUUUGGGCAAUUUUUUCUAUUAAGAUUAGAAGAGCACUCUGUAACAUGGGUUUAUUGCAUCUGGUGUUAUGUAGUAUAUACAUAUACAAUCAAAUAAAUAGCACUCCAGUAAGAGCUUAACAAGUAUUCCGAAGCCAAGUUUCAUAAGUGGCUUCUGUUUUCAUCUGCGGUAUUGUCUAACCUCAUCAACAGCCUAACAACACUUGGUUAGGCUACUUUCACAUCUGCGUUUUUGCUGGAUCCCUAAAGAAAAAUGAUGUAAAAUACCUGCAUGUAUGCAAAAAAAAAUGCAGAAAAAUUCCUGUAUGUGUGCAGAAUGCUCACCAAAUAAUACCACAGUAGACCGGGAGUAGCCGUUUUUCCAUUUUCAUUAUCUUGCCCUGCUCUGUGCUGUACCUUUGUAUGGAUGCUACUAGGGCUUACAGUUCCCAGGAUUCUUCUCCCCUCUCACACACAUUGCUUCUAUUUACAGCCGCCUGCGUGUACUUCUGUAAUUACUCUGUCUUCACACACACUGAGCUCUGUUUUGCUGCCCACCAUGAGAAAUACGAUCCCUCCAUAGACAAAGGGGGAGGAAGUGAGCAUAAGAGGCAAGUGAUGUUUGAUGUCCCAUGCUUUAGGGAGAGGGGGUAGCCAUUUGUACAGUGUACAGGAUGCCACACAAGCAGUAGAUAAACCACGGGCAUGGUGCAUGCACUGCAUGUGAGACUGUCUUGCAGACCAUUUGCACACUAGUUUUAAGAGUUGGAAAACUCCUCUAAUUGAUUCAGCACACCAAAGUAGACACCCUUGAGAAUCAGACCCACCACACAUUGACAAUGUGUUACCUGGGAUAUGCACAAAUAUUAAAGCAAUAACCUCUGAGAUAGACAACUCUAGUGAUUUAUCUCAUUGCGAGCUCAAGUGUAAGCGAGGUGGUGACGUUAUUUCAAGUACUUUGCACUAACUUUGUACAGAGAUUUACUAAUAUGCUGUAGACUACUAAAGAUAUUGUGUGACUUCUCUGUUAAUGCUUUUUAAACUUACAGUAUGUACAGUCUAGGAAGAGGAGGUGGCCAAGGAGAAUUGGCUUUGUACCAGGCAUAAUACUGUUUGUAUAACGUGUGUAAAAUUUCAGCUAGGCUAAGACUACAGUAUGUGUCGUCAGAAAAUUACCUAGUUUUUAUGUUAAAUAUAUUUUUCCAUUUUUGAUCCUACAAUUUAUAUAUAUUUUUUUGAAAUCCUAAAGCCCAGGGGUGUUCGCACUGCCACUGUGCCUUAUAAUAGGCCAACAUGACCUGCUUUAUAGAGAUCACUUUUCAACAGUCAUCUCAUUAUCAACCCGAGCAGGAUUACAGUGAAAGAUAAAUCCUCUGUGUAGAUUACACAGGAUCCCACAAUUAACAAUAGGUGAUGUCACACUUUCAACUUUUUUUUAAAGUUGAUAAAUCUGGCUUAAAUCAGCUCAGCAGGCAAACCAGAGCCACUUUCCCACCUAGUGUUGGAAAAGUUUGCCUAAAUAAUCCCAAAAAGUCACAAAGCCCUAAUUUGUGACCUUUUUGUGUGCAAAACCUAAAUUGCUGAAAUGGGUUUUACACAUUAUGCCACAUAAUGUGGGAGGGUGUAUCCAUACCUACUGAAGAAAACCAACAGUGUGUUGGCAUAUUCCCUGUGCUGAUAUACUGGUAUGCAAGAACAGAUUUUUAAGGUUAGAAGUAUAGUAUGCAGAAUCUUCUACCUUGGAAUCGAACAACGAAAUCUCUUUUCUUUAUCUGUAGUAUGGAACAUCAUUCUUUACCCAAAAUACGUUUUCUUCAUUACAUCCUCAGUUCUCCUUUCUCACCACCUCCUCCGACAGACCAGAAUAUUAUUUUUUUAUUAAAAGGAAAAACGAAAUCAGUGCUGUAAUUUGUGCUAGAUUUUUCAGAACGCUUGAAUUUUGUAACGGGCUAUAACUCUGGAUGCUGAUUAUUAAGCAAACGUUAUGCAAAAAUGCUGGAUCUUUUUGCAAAGGAGUCCAAUAAAAAUCUUAAAUACA